AGUGGGAUAGCUGGGUCAAAUGGUGGUUCUAUUCCAAGUUUUCUGAGGAAUCUCCAUACUGCUUUCCAGAAUGGUUGCACCAAUUUCCAGUCCCACCAGCAAG
rnacentral:pre_miRNA from 1 species